rnacentral:ncRNA from 1 species
CCCUCAGGAUAGCUGGAGCCCUUAGCGAGUUCUAUCGGGUAAAGCCAAUGAUUAGAGGCAUCGGGGGCGCAAUGGCCUCGACCUAUUCUCAAACUUUAAAUAGGUAGGACGGUGCGGCUGCUUAGUUGAACCGCGCCACAGAAUCGAGAGCUCCAAGUGGGCCAUUUUUGGUAAGCAGAACUGGCGAUGCGGGAUGAACCGGAA